rnacentral:rRNA from 1 species
GACGAACGCUGGCGGCGUGCUUAACACAUGCAAGUCGAACGGACAGGCCCUGCGUUUGCGUGUUUCACGAUUGGCGAACGGGGGUGUAACACGCGUGUAUCCUGCCCUUGUCUUUGGGAUAACAUUAGGAAACUGGGGCUAUAACCCGAGAGGAUCUCUUGCUGCACGUGGUUGGUAGGAAAGAUUCGGUGGUUGGGGAUGGUUUCGCGGCUUAUCAGCUUGUUUGGCGGGUAGUUGCUUUCCAAGGUUGUGAAGGGUAGGCCGCCUGAGAGGGUGACCGGCCACAUUGGGACUGAGGUACGGCCCAGACUGGUACGGGAGGCAGCAGUGGGAAAUAUUGCGGAAUGGGCGGAAGCCUGAUGCAGCAACGCCGCGUGCGGGAUAACGGCCUUCGGGUGGUAAACCGCUUUCGCAUGUAACGAAGCGUGAGUGACGGUAAUGGGUAAAGAAGCACCGGCUAACUACGUG